UACGUAGGGGGCAAGCGUUGUCCGGAAUUAUUGGGCGUAAAGAGCGCGUAGGCGGUCCGGUAAGUCGGUUGUGAAAGUCGGGGGCUCAACCCUCGGAUGCCGAUCGAUACUGCCGGGCUAGAGUCCGGAAGAGGCGAGUGGAAUUCCUGGUGUAGCGGUGAAAUGCGCAGAUAUCAGGAGGAACACCGGUGGCGAAGGCGGCAUCCUGGACCGAGAUUGACGCUGAGGCGCGAAAGCCAGGGGAGCAAACGGG
rnacentral:rRNA from 1 species